AACGAACGCUGGCGGCAGGCUUAACACAUGCAAGUCGAGCGCCCCGCAAGGGGAGCGGCAGACGGGUGAGUAACGCGUGGGAAUCUACCCAUCUCUACGGAAUAACGCAUGGAAACGUGUGCUAAUACCGUAUACGUCCUUCGGGAGAAAGAUUUAUCGGAGAUGGAUGAGCCCGCGUUGGAUUAGCUAGUUGGUGGGGUAAAGGCCUACCAAGGCGACGAUCCAUAGCUGGUCUGAGAGGAUGAUCAGCCACACUGGGAGUGAGACACGGCCCAGACUCCUACGGGAGGCAGCAGUGGGGAAUAUUGGACAAUGGGCGCAAGACUGAGCCAGCCAUGCCGCGUGAGUGAUGAAGGCCCUAGGGUUGUAAAGCUCUUUCACCGGUGAAGAUAAUGACGGUAACCGGAGAAGAAGCCCCGGCUAACUUCGUGCCAGCAGCCGCGGUAACAC
rnacentral:rRNA from 1 species